AUGCAGCUGACGAGUCCCAGGCGGGACAAAACGCGCGUCCUGGAU
rfam:Schistosoma margrebowiei strain Zambia genome assembly, scaffold: SMRZ_contig0006432